rnacentral:rRNA from 1 species
UACGUAGGGGGCUAGCGUUGUCCGGAAUCAUUGGGCGUAAAGAGCGUGUAGGCGGUCCGGUAAGUCCGUUGUGAAAGUCAGGGGCUCAACCCUUGAAUGCCGGCGGAUACUGUCGGGCUAGAGUCCGGAAGAGGCGAGUGGAAUUCCCGGUGUAGCGGUGAAAUGCGCAGAUAUCGGGAGGAACACCUAUGGCGAAGGCAGCUCGCUGGGACGGUACUGACGCUGAGGCGCGAAAGCCAGGGGAGCGAACGGG